rnacentral:rRNA from 1 species
CCUACGGGUGGCAGCAGUGGGGAAUAUUGGACAAUGGGCGCAAGCCUGACCCAGCAACGCCGCGUGAGGGAAGAAGGCUCUCGGGUUGUAAACUUCUUUUAUCAGGGAAGAAACAAGUGACGGUACCUGAUGAAUAAGCCGCGGCUAACUACGUGGCAGCAGCCGAGGUAAUACGUAGGUGGGAAGCGUUAUCCGGAUUUAAUGGGUGUAAAGGGCGUGUAGGCGGGAAAGCAAGUCAGAUGUGAAAACCAUGGGCUCAACCUGUGGCCUGCAUUUGACACUGGUUGUCUUGAGUACUGGAGAGGCAGACGGAAUUCCUAGUGUAGCGGUGAAAUGCGUAGAUAUUAGGAGGAACACCAGUGGCGAAGGCGGUCUGCUGGACAGCAACUGACGCUGAGGCGCGAAAGCGUGGGGAGCAAACAGGAUUAGAUACCCUAGUAGUC